CCUACGGGAGGCAGCAGUGGGGAAUUUUGGACAAUGGGCGCAAGCCUGAUCCAGCCAUGCCGCGUGUGGGAAGAAGGCCUUCGGGUUGUAAACCACUUUUGUCAGGGAAGAAACGGUCUGAACUAAUACUUUGGACUAAUGACGGUACCUGAAGAAUAAGCACCGGCUAACUACGUGCCAGCAGCCGCGGUAAUACGUAGGGUGCAAGCGUUAAUCGGAAUUACUGGGCGUAAAGCGUGCGCAGGCGGCUUUGCAAGACAGAUGUGAAAUCCCCGGGCUCAACCUGGGAACUGCAUUUGUGACUGCAUGGCUAGAGUACGGUAGAGGGGGAUGGAAUUCCGCGUGUAGCAGUGAAAUGCGUAGAUAUGCGGAGGAACACCGAUGGCGAAGGCAAUCCCCUGGACCUGUACUGACGCUCAUGCACGAAAGCGUGGGGAGCAAACAGGAUUAGAUACCCUGGUAGUCCACGCCCUAAACGAUGUCAACUGGUUGUUAGGGUAGGUUUCUCUCAGUACGAAGCUACGCGUGAGUAGACCGCCGUGGGAGGUACGGCCGCGAGUAGAACGUACGAAAGGAAGUUAGACGGCGUGAGACGAGACGACGACGACGACGAGGAGGAGG
rnacentral:rRNA from 1 species